GCAGUUAGCAAUUUCCCUUGACUGACCAUACUCCGUCCGCAGAGGAAUGUUCCACACACUGCGCCCGCGACUGCGCAUACAACGCUCAUUCCUCUAUUUGGUUCGUGAAGUCGUGAUGAAACCCUUCCUUGUCUCUCCCUCUCGAUCUGCGCCGCCGGCUCCCUUCCCUCGAUCUACGCUCGGCUCUUCCACUGCGGCACAACAGGGGAAGAAGAUGGGAUUGGCGGGCGAGCGGCUGCGGGGUGCGAGUGGCCUGUGGCGGGCGAGGGCCUGCGGGGCGGCGAAGAGGGGAUACUCCGGUGGGCUACCAGCAGCGGCAGAGGCUUAGCGCCUGCUUCUUCUCCUGAAGGGUCAUCGCCAACUCACUGCUGCUCAUAGAGGUGAGUCAAAUGUUGUAACAAUCUCUGUCAUUAUUUUGCUGCUCAGGUAGGAGUUCGAGAAAUCAUGAAUUACCUGACAGAUAAUGCAACCAAAACACAGGAAGAGAAACAUAUAUGGUGAUGAUGUCUAUCAUGCUUUUGCAGGUAGUAGUAUGCAUCCACACAAUUCAAAUUCAUGUUCUGGAAGGACAUUGACCAACUAACCAUGUAUUAAUUGUAUAGUUAAAUUUGUUGUUUUACUUCUAUUCGAACUGAGUUCUAACAAUCAAUAUUUGAUUCUGCUACACACUUUCAAGGACAGUUACAACAAUUCUGGAGCAUGUAUCGUCCUCAAUCCUCUGAUUUUGCUACCGUCAUUUCCAUAGUAUUCAAGAUGUAAAACCUCGACCUGUGGCUACUAUGAUUUGCAGGAAGUAAUUGUUUCCGAUGAAGAAUUAGAUCUAGGCGCCAUGGAUGACAACAAUUCAGGCUUUUAACUAAAUAUUUUGUCAUGUCCGCAAUUGGCUGGUUC